rnacentral:rRNA from 1 species
AACGUAGGUUCCGAGCGUUAUCCGGAUUUACUGGGCGUAAAGCGCGUUCAGGCGGUUUGGCAAGUCGGGCAUGAAAUCUCUCGGCUCAACCGGGAGAGGUUGUCCGAUACUGUCAGACUGGAGGGCAGUAGAGGGUGGUGGAAUUCCGGGUGUAGUGGUGAAAUGCGUAGAGAUCCGGAGGAACACCAGUGGCGAAAGCGGCCAACUGGACUGCACCUGACGCUGAAACGCGAAAGCUAGGGGAGCGAACGGG